AGUGGAUAUAAAAAAACUUUAUUUUGAGUUUUAUCUAUUUUGAUGAUAGUAUUUAAAAAAAUUAUAAGACCUAAAUAUUUAAUAUGAAGCUUUGAGAAGAAAUUAGAGCCUAAAGAAUUCUUAACAAGUAGGAGGCUUAUUAGAAGGAAUAAAAGCAAGGCAUGGUUGGAUGAAGGCAAGGAAUGAGGAUCUUCAUUCCUAUUGGUCGAAGGCCAUACCCAAUGGGCUUCAAGGAGGCUGCUUGAGGCCUUAUUAGGGAUUAGGAUUUCUCUUUUGAAGUCAUUCUAGCUUUGGAGGCUAGGAUCAUCAAGUUCAGGAUUCUAGAUACAAAUUGAGUGCAAAUUUUGUAUGAUUUGGAGUUAUUAUGAAGGAUUUAUUAGUGCUCAAAGUUAAGGUAUUAAUUUCAUACCUAUUGUCACUC
rnacentral:lncRNA from 1 species